GGGACCAAGUUAUCAUAACCCGCUUUAUUUGAAGGCCUUUGCUGCUGUAUGAGUUGCUGGAGUGCAAUGCCUGAAAAGAGAAAUGAGCUGUUGGUGAGUGGGAUCCUUUCUAUCGGUGCAUUUAUCAUGGCAGGGGCCCUUCUGAGAGCAGUUGGGGUUGCACGUGUGUAAGAUGUCAGGGCUGUCAGGCAGUUUGACUGCACGGACUGUCUGUCAGAAGCCAGGCUACCAAAUGCCAGCGUGAGCCCGGAGGCUGGAGCUGUGACGCAGGUGCAGGAGGGAUGUGGUGUAAUCAGGAAAAUUGGUCUUGACCUCAGAUGUCUUCCAGUAAGUGGAAACAGUCCUGUGUUGAGUAAUACUUAAAUUAACUGGAGUCGUCUCUGUGUUUUUGACUUUAAAGCUCUGUGCUGGACCUGUGCAACAUACAGCUAAUUCUGUUUGAUUUUCUCCUUCUCCCAAACUGUUCCCCUCUGCUCUUCCAGUCCUAUCUAUCCAACAGGCUCCUUGGACCCGGUUUCGUUGGAACCAGAACCAGUUCCUCCAGGGAGCACCAGCGAGGACUGCUCUAGCUGUUCAUCACUUAAGUGAUCUUUGUCCUGGGGGGUCUGAGUGGUGCUGCCCUGGUGGGGGACCCUGCCUGCGAGGGAACCCAGCUCAAAGUGGGAGCCUGACCCCUGUGCUCACCUGCGUGAGGAGGUAGGUUGCUGUAACUUCCCAUCCAAGCUGUCCACCUGGCAAAGGGCAUCCUCCUUUUGAGGGGGACUUACUCUGGAACUGGCUUUUGAUUAGUAAAGAGCUACUCGAAGAAAUCCUUUAAGAAAAGAUAUGCAGAGCUGAGUCACAGAGAUGCAAGUCUCUACAUCUGACAGAAAUAGAUAACAAAGAUAAUCCUCUGAGUGGAGGGCAUCUUGGCAAACCGUGUCUAUUUUAAUGCUGUUGUUGUUCUCUACCAGCUAUAUCGACCCAUCUGUGGAGAGCCAAAGUGUGGUGAGUGGCUGCUGCAGCAAAGGGUGUAAAUUAAGGGUCCAAAAAUGCCAUGUGAUUCUCCAGUCAUAGCUGCAACUUCAGUGGAAGUUUGUUCCUAUAGUAACUGCCAGAUAAAUUAUAUAAGGUAGCAAACACACUCGGGAGCUUGUGCCAGCCUCUUCAGAAAAUGCCUCUGGUAUAAAGGUAACUCAUCUUCCGAAAUACAAGUAGGCUAUCAAAACAAGCUAGAGAAGCAAGAAUAGCUGCAUGUAGUCCUCCUCAGGUCGGUGCAGAAUAGUGAUUACUUUGUGUGUCCCAGGAAAUCUAGGGCAGAAAACCUUGAGCUUUUGAGAGAGACUGUCUUGGAUCAGAGCUUCCUUUGACUGUGAAGCUGGAUUUGCCUGUGCUGUUUGGCCUUUCAGUGCCCUGCAGGAAGGACCCACCCUGCUGUUCACAGCAUCCAUUUCAAUUUCCUCUGCUUUGCUCUGCGCCUGUAUCGUCACAGCACCUCUUCAGAGAGCAAGAUGGUAACAACGAUAAGACUUGGGUUGAAAUCUUCUGCUGCAGGCUUACCACUACUCAUUGUUAGAUCUGGUGUUCUGGGAACAACAGGUCAAAUUCUGCGAUGUGACUGCCUUCAAAGCCACCAGGCACUUGGGCAGUAGGCAUUUUGGGUAAACUGCAGAGGCUUCAUAACCUGCUCUGCAGAAAACGGAGCCAGCAGCAGUCUGCUUGAUCUGAGUUGGCCAGUAAGGUGCCUGCUGUAAACAUUGUGGUUUGGGGAAACAGUACAUGGUUGCUGAUAACAUAGCUAAGAAGAAUUUAAAGGCAAAGCUCCAAGCUGUUGUCUGGAGCAAUAAUCUCAACCACUGUGGAUGCCUCUGGCUCUUCCAUUUUCAUGCAAAGAAUGGUUAAGGCCUGUAGUUACUGCAGCAAUCCUUUAUUUGGAAAAACAAACACCAAAAAAAGGCCACUAACUUGCAUGUAUUAAUAGCUACCUGGCAUAAUCAAGAGAUCUUGAAGUUGAGUUUAACUGUCUCUUUCACUUGCCAGCAGAGUUUACCUUGUUUUCCCCAGAUAAUCUGAACACUUGAUUGCAGAACAGACAUCUACAGUCGAGAGGAGAGGAAGCUGUUUUGUAACACAGCUUUUGUCAUAGCUUCUCUAUGAAUGGAAUGAAUUUCAGUAAGUCAUUAAGCAAUCCCUUUCCAGAAUAAGGAAACCACAAGUCAAAGGAAGCUCUUGGAUACUUGGCUGUUUCCUCAUUUGGCUCUGCAAAAACUAGGGCUUUUCAACUUUGACUCGAUGAGAAAUUUCCAAGUGCUGGUGAAGGCUUGUAGGAGAGGAUGUGGAUGUCAUCUCGCUGGGACUACCCCUCUCCAAGGAGCUUUUCCCACAUCCCCUUUCCCUGUGUGUGCAGAGAGGGUGGUUGUACCAUGCUGGAGCUCAACACAUGUAGUAGUGUUAGCUGGGAUCAAUGGGCCUGGCAGGCACACUUCCCAGUUACAGCUGGGCUUUUGCUGGAUCGCCUGCAAGUCAAAUGAUUGUUUGCACUAAGAAUAUUUCAUUAGGCUUUGAAUAGCUGUGUGCUCUCCUUCCUGCCUGUGAAAGCAUCUAUUUUUCCCCUGACCCCCUCCCUUCUCAAAAGAGCAGUGGCUUUGCAGCCAAUUUCUGUUUUAUUUUUAAAUGCUUUCUGGAGGGUUAUUAGUGAAGAAACUUGCACAAGUAGCUUGAGCCAAAAUGUAAUGUCUGAAUAAAGGAUGAGGAGUGAAUCCCCUUGGGAUCCCUCAAUGGAUCCCUCGAUCACUCCAGGGUGUGAACUUUCAGCAAGUGGCUACAGUGUGAUGUGUACUAGCCAGGCUGGACUUGGGCUUUAAAGGGAAUUGAGAGCUUUUUCACCAAGGGCAGAUGAUUCAGACAGUCCUUUUAGGCAUUAAUGUUUCAGUUGUGGGUGCUAACUUAAGCUGGUAUGGGCAGCUUGGUAUGCAGUGUUUAUUUUGACAUGCUGGGAUAUAAAACAGGCCAUGAAACCAGCUCAUGGAGGCACUGACUGGGCAGCAGGGUUUCUCACAUAUAGCUCUCUAGUCUGUUCUGGAUACAGGUGCAUCUCUCUUUAGAAAUGCCCUGUCAGGCAUUCAGUACAGCUUUCUUAAAUGACAGCUGACUGGGAUCUCUCUGCAACCAUUCCCAGGCUAGGAAUAUACCCAAAGGUGGUCUUGUCUAGCCUUAACAUUGUGCUAGAACUGAGUGCACAGCCAAGCGCUUGAAUCUGCUUUGAUUAGUAGCUGAUUCUUCUUCAAAACUGCUUUUUCCUCUUGUUCAUCUGCAAAUGGCAUUCUCCAGGAAGCAUUUUGCAUAUCUGAGGCACUGCGCAGGGGCACGAGAUGAUUAAUCAGAACCAAGCAAGUGAUGCCCAGCUCUGGUUAGUGCCAAGGAACUUGCUUUAAUUUCCAUGGAUGUUAAAAUUUGGUAUAAUACUGAAACGACCGAGUGCAGCAUCAGGCUUGCAUGUCUGAUGCUGGUUGUCGUUGCAGCAAACUUUAGUUUUGCAUAUGGAAAGUGAGUUUUCAUUUGGGCCUCAAGCUCUAAAGCCAUCUGGUAGCUGUGUGGAUGCCAGCCUAAAGGGAACUAUUUUUAUGAUGUUAGUGAGUGUAUUCAUGCAAGGACCAAUUUAUUUCAUGUUUCUUUCUACUGGUUUAAUAAGCCAAAUGCUUCUGUGAGCUGUGCCUUAAAAACCUUUAGUCUGUGAGGGCUCAAUUUUUGUGAUUCAAUGAACCUGGAGGGCAGAAUGCUCCCUGUGGUGUCCUGGGCCCUCCCGAGUGUCCGAAGGCCUCAGGGAGAGAUGAGGCCUCUGGCGGCUCCAGCAGUG